UGUGUUGUGCACAUAAUCAUCCACGGUACUGAGGGCUGGUUGCAAACGGCAUGGCUACAUUGGCUACUUUUUUAUGUGUUGGACCAAAAAUGUAAAGGACGACGCAAUCUUUUCUUUACAUUCAUCACAUCCAUCAUUUGCCAAAAGAACAGAAGGAUACGUUUGCAUUCAAUCCGUUCAAAAAAAACAAAACAAAUUAAAUACAUUUUUCCCAAUUCCCCGCCGCUUUCUAUAUCUCGUUGUGACCAAUAAAGCCCCAGAAAUGACAUGUUCACAUUAGCUGUUCAACCGUUGGCAAGGCGACCAUUCUCUAAUCGGGUUGUUGUUAGGCCCUGGUCGUGGAGACUCUCUUACCCGCACGGGGAUGAUGUGGCUGGGGCAGUGCACCACGGGCAGACCCGAGUCCAUCAACAUCUGCCUCAGCAGCUUGACGUUGCGCUGGUGCUUGCGCCGCAGCACCACGCCCUCCG